UGAUGGGAGAAUAAGGCUAAUGGUGGAUGCCUAGGCAGUUUGAGCCGAAGAAGGACGCGUGUUAAAGCGCGAAAACAACGGUGAGCCCUUAAACAGGCGUUAUCAACUGUUGGUUUCCGAAUGGAGCAAUCCUCUUCGAUGUAAAUCGAGGAACCCUUACCACUUGUGGUAAGGGAGGGAACCUGGUGAACCGAAACAUCCAAGUAACCAGAGGAAGAGAAAUCAUAUGAGAUUUCGUUAGUAGCGGCGAGCGAAAACGAAAGAGCCUAAACCCCGAUUUAUCGGGGUGUUGCGGGUCCACAGUAGGUAGAAAUUCUUGCAAAAAAAUACUCUGGAAAGAGUAACCAAAGAAGGUGAUAGUCCUGUAUUUUAAAGAAGAAUUUCGCUGGUGGAGUUCCCAAGUACCACGAGGCACGGCAAACCUUGUGGGAAACCGGGUCGGUCACGAUCCAAGGCUAAAUACUCAAAUUGACCGAUAGUGAACUAGUACCAUGAGGGAAAGGUGAAAAGUCCCCCAGUGAGGGGAGUGAAAUAGAACCUGAAACCAUUAGCUAACAAACAGACAGAGCUUGUGCGUAGUACAAGAGAUUGUUAGCUUUUAGACUAUUAGCUAUUAGAUUUCAAAAUCUAAAAAACUAAAAGCUAAAAAGCUAAUAGCUCUCGUGCUGCGCGCGAGUGAUGUCGUGCCUAUUGAAGAAUGAGCCAGCGAGUUUUCGAUAACUGCGUGAUUAACCCCGCUUAGCGGGGGAAGUCAGAGGGAAACCGAGUCCUAAUAGGGCGAAUUUGUAGUUAUCGGAAGACCCGAAACUGGGUGAGCUAACCAUGAGCAGGGUGAACCCCGCCGAAAGGCGGGGGAAGGCCCGGACCCGUUGUCGGUGAAAUGACAUGGGAGGACUUGUGGUUAGGGGUAAUAUGCCAAUCGAACUCAGAUAUAGCUGGUUCUCCCCGAAAUAUAUUUAGGUAUAGCCUCAACAAUUACUUUGCGGGGUAGAGCGACUAGAUGGUUGUGAGAGCGUAAGCGAUCGCGACCAACUAAACUCCGAAUACGCAAAAAAUUUGUUGGGAGUCAGUCUUAUCGGGAUAAGCCGAUACAGGCGAAAGGGAAACAUCCCAGAUUCCCGUCUAAGGUUCCUAAAUGACUUUUAAGUGGAAAAGGCCGUUGGAUUUCCAACACAGUAGGGAGGUUGGCUCAGAAGCAGCCAUCCUUUAAAGAGUGCGUAACAGCUCACCUAAAUACCCCUGCCUUUGGCGGGGGAAAUUCAGCGCCUAAAAUGAACGGAGCUAAAAAGUCUACCGAAGACGGAGACUUGUCCCGCUUUUUGCGGGACAAUUGGUAGGGGAGCUUCCUGAUAACAGCGAAGCAUAGUUGUAAGACUAGGUGGAGUUAUCAGGAGUGAGAAUGCUGGCAUAAGUAGUGAAACCUCCGAUGAAAACUCGGAGUGCCGAAUACCCAAGGUUUCCUCAGCAACGUCAAUCAGCUGAGGGUGAGUCGGAUCUAAGGAGGUACCUUUUGGUGCCCCCGAUGUACAAGCAGUUAAUAUUCUGCUACAGAAAAUAGAACGUUAACACUUGCAGAAAGACAGAAUUUGAAUACCCAAGCCCUCUAUAUGGGGGUUUAAGUAUUAAAGUUUACCGCAAGGUAAAUUGAGAUACGAAUACAAUUCUGGCGUAACGCCAGUUGAGUUGGGUCACUUUACGUUCUCAGGAAAAUUUCUGUCAAGGAGUUUUGUUUUUUUCCGUACCAAUAACCAACACAGGUGGGUUGGUGGAGAACACCAAGGCAUACGGACAAGAGUGAUUCAAGGAACUCGGCAAAAAAACUGAGCGUAAGCUUUGCAAGAUGCUCUGAGGGUGCCAUACGGUACCCUCUACAAUAAAAGUUUGUCAACCGACUGUUUAGCAAAAACACAGGCUCCUGCAAACCUGCAAAGGAAAGUAUAGGAGCUGAGACCUGUCCGGUACUGGUAAGUUAAUCACUUUGGGUGAAACUAAGCAAUUAGACAGCCUGAGGUGCAAGCUCCAGUGAACGACAGCUCUAACCCUGAGAGUUCUAAGGUAGCGUAGCCCCUUGCCGGGUAAGUUCCGGCCCGCAUGAAAGGUGUAACGAGUUGACAACUGUCUUGAAUUACCGUCCGACGAAUUUGAAAUGGCUGUGAAGAUGCGGCCUACCUACACCUGGACAAAAAGACCCCGAGAGCUUUACUGUAGUUAGAUAUUGGUGAAAGGAGAUAAACUGUUGAGCGUAGGAGGGACCUUGCCGCAAGGCGAGGGCCAAUGAAACACCUCUCUUUUAGCUUUUUUCUCCUCAUCCAGCGCAAGCGGGAAACAGUAUUUGACGGGCAGUUUAACUGGGGCGGUUUCCUCCAAAAAAGUAACGGAGGAGCGCAAUGGUCAGCUAAUUCCGGAUGGAAAUCGGAAUGUUCGUGCAAACGCAUAAGCUGGCUUAACUGUGAGGGUGACUAUCCGAGCAGAUGCGAAAGCAGGCGUUAGUGAUCCUCGAUCCCGCCGUGAUUGCGGGACGAGCUUAACGGAUAAAAGUUACCUCGGGGAUAACAGGCUGGUCGCGCCCGAGAGUUCAUAUCGACGGCGCGGUUCGGCACCUUAAAUGACAUUGGGGUGCGAUAGAAGUAAUUCUAUAGCUUUGUAAUCUAAAACAAUUUAGGUCUUUUUGCAAAAUAUCAGCUCAUAACGGUGAACUCCUUACUGUAAAGUAAGGACAAUACCGUGGGAAUCCCGACUUAGUCGGGACCCGUAACGACUUAUCUUGAUGCGAAAUCAAGGUAGACUCUUUGGCCUUAUGGCAAAGAGUAAUAAGGCUGACCCCCGCUUAGCGGGGUGAUGGUAUAGUCUGAUACUUCAAGUAAUUGAAGAAAACACGCGAUGUCGGCUCACUGCAUCCUGGGGCUGAAGUCGGUCCCAAUGGUCGGGCUGUUCGCCCGUUAAAGCGGUACGCGAGCUGGGUUCAGAACGUCGU
rfam:Candidatus Roizmanbacteria bacterium RIFCSPHIGHO2_01_FTLL_39_8 rifcsphigho2_01_scaffold_12997, whole genome shotgun sequence.